UACGUAGGGGGCCAGCGUUGUCCGGAAUCAUUGGGCGUAAAGCGUGCGUAGGCGGUUUCUUAAGUCUGCUGUGAAAGCCCUGGGCUCAACCUGGGAAUGGCGGUGGAUACUGAGAGGCUGGAGUACGGUAGAGGAAGGUGGAAUUCCCGGUGUAGCGGUGAAAUGCGUAGAGAUCGGGAGGAACACCUGCGGCGAAGGCGGGUCUCUGGACAGUUCCUGACGCUGAGGCACGAAGGUCAGGGGAGCAAACGGG
rnacentral:rRNA from 1 species